rnacentral:misc_RNA from 1 species
AACCAUAGAAACCUGCGGAGUACCUGCGGAGGGAUCAUUACCGAGUUUACAACUCCCAAACCCCUGUGAACAUACCUAUACGUUGCCUCGGCGGAUCAGCCCGCGCCCCGUAAAAAGGGACGGCCCGCCCGAGGACCCCUAAACUCUGUUUUUAGUGGAACUUCUGAGUAAAACAAACAAAUAAAUCAAAACUUUCAGCAACGGAUCU